AGAGUUUGAUUAUGGCUCAGAACGUACGCUGGCGGCACGCCUAACACAUGCAAGUCGAACGCAGUAGCAAUACUGAGUGGCAAACGGGUGAGUAUAAUGUGGGAAUCUGCCUUUUGGUUUGGAAUAACACGGGGAAACUUGUGCUAAUACCGAAUAAGCCUUUACGGGGAAAGUUUUAACGCCGAAAGAUGAGCCCGCACUUGAUUAGCUAGUUGGUAAGGUAAAAGCUUACCAAGGCAACGAUCAAUAGCUGUUCUUAGAGGAAGACCAGCCACAUUGGGACUGAGACACGGCCCAGACUCCUACGGGAGGCAGCAGUGGGGAAUCUUGCACAAUGGGGGAAACCCUGAUGCAGCGAUGCCGCGUGAGUGAAGAAGGCCUUUGGGUUGUAAAACUCUUUCGUCGGGGAAGAAAAUGACUGUACCCGAAUAAGAAGGUCCGGCUAACUUCGUGCCAGCCGCCGCGGUAAUAC
rnacentral:rRNA from 1 species